AACUAUUACUGCACCAGAAAAGGUUUUGUUCCAUGUUUCUUUAUGACAAAAUAAUUGUAUAAUUAACCAAUCUUCAAAUAUUGUUACUAUCCCUAAUAUAUGUAUAUAUAUAUAUAAGUAAAAUCUCAGAAUGGUGUGGGAAAAUAGGGUAGACAGAAAGUAACACAUAAAAUACACACUAGACACAACACUACAGAAAAAGGUUAAACAAAUAAAUUUAAAAAAAGGUUUAUGUUACACAUUCAAUAAAGAAAAUUAGAACUAACAGAAAAAACUUUUCUAGUUUUACCAAUUCUUUCGAGACACAUGAUAACGAUUUGAAGUAAAACUUUGAGUUAUAACAAACCCUAACAAAACUGAUAUUGUAACAAAUUUAAAAUACAGGUAAACUGAAUGGCACUCUUGGUCUGAACGUGUCACUCUAGGAAUAGAAAAACAUGACAUUCUCAAUGUAAGGCAUCAUCAUCAAGUAUAUCAUUGGCACAAAUACAAUAUUUUGUUAAAACAUAAUUUGCAAUAUUCAACGAUUAAUUUUUUUUAUAACGCCCAAAAUCAUGCAAAAAUAAAAAAACUCAGUUAAUCAGGAAGUAAUAAUAUAUAAUUAAAACUUUGGCACACUCAUCAAUGAAAUAAUACAUAAUUUGUAUGUUACAUCAAGUUUUUUAAUUUUAUUUAGUUGUCUGGAUGUAAGUAAAAAAUGUUUACCUUGGCUAUUAUGGCAUUGUAUUCUACGCGCAAAAAAUGUAUAAAAUUGUGAACUCAAAUGUUUAUCCCAACAAACAUUCAUUAAUUCCUGUUAUGUCAACAUCUAUGAUAACCUACGUAGUUGGCCUAUGAUUGAUAAGCCGGUAUGUGUCCGUCUGGUGUGGUGCUUUAGCACAGGAGAAGCCCGAGGUGAUUUUUAUAGUUAUAUUUUUUUUUUAAUAAAGUAGUCUUGGUUAGCGUACUAACUCAUUUGUAUUUUUUUUUUUUUCGGAGUCGACUAUAUAACAUUCCUUGUGCGCCAAGUAUAAUAUAUCUGUACCUUGUAUUACAGGUCAGUGGUUAAAUUCAAGUCAUGUCUAUUUAUAAAAAAUCAAUAUGGUGUUUUGUAGCGCAGAUAAAAUAGUACCAUUGAUAUUUCACUAGUUGGACCAGAAUAAUUUAAACCGAUGAGUUAACGACGGAUGUAAUUUAAUAGUAAUUUUUCGUUAAACCAAUAAUUUAAAAAGUACUGAGUACAACGAAAAAUAUAUUUUUCAAUUAAAUUAACUUGGCAACUUGAUUUUAACUGCGUCGUGAAGACUAAUUCGCUAAGAUAAAAACUUCAUAAUGAUAUUUAUUAAAAGUAAACAAGUUUUAGGCUGACUGGAAAUUACAUUUUUCGUGAUCAAAUACUUCUCUAACGAAACAAACGUGUCGUACAAUAAGUACCCAAGUACAGCCGACUGGACACAUGAAAUAGCAUUGUGCUGCAGUAACCAAAAUGAUUGAUAAUGUACUCGGCAAGUGCCUCCAAACUAAAUUGACUUGAAAGUUUUAUGAUGUCAAAAAGAAAAAUCAAAUAGAAAACGAAUAAUUCAAGAUAAAAUAAAGAUCCUCUGAAAAAUAUUACUCGAAAUACAAAAUUAAAUAUUAAAACAAUUUGGAUCACGUUCGAGUAUAGACAUAAAUCAUAUUACUUGUGUCACUUGUUAAUAGCCGUCGGAUAAUUCAUUUUCAAAAUCAAUGAUACAGAUACACCCUAAAAUUUUAAAUUAUGGUUAUCAAUUUAAUUUUAAGUGAAGUCGAGAAGUCAUCUGCCACAAUCUAACAUUAAGUUAUACGAGCUUGUUAAAAACAAAAUUUAUCUUAGAUAUGUUAUCAACCACUGAAUAAGGUCGGGAGUUAAGGAUUAGGUAUGACCGCUGGGUAGCUUAGUGGAAAACUUUCGCCUGGAUAGCGAAAGAUCUGGGUUUGAUAUCUCCAGUCUUCUAGCAUAGUUUUUCCUAAGUUUCAGAUUUUCUAACAGCCAUUACACCUAAGUUUUCAAAAAUAUAAUAUAAAUGUGUUAUAGAUAAUAUAUAUAUGAAAUAAAAUAUGUUUAAUUCAAAGUAAAUGUUUAAUUUGUUGUUUUGACUUGUAUUUGU